AGUCAGUUAUUUAAUUGUAUUAGAAAGUAAGACAGCUGAUGUUGGGUCAGUUAUUUUAUUAACACGUCUUUCUGGCAUCUUAUGAAGAGUUGAGGCUGAUGUAGGAGAAAUGAAAUGUGUGAUGAAGAAACCCACCACUCCGUGCCUGUAGUUCUCGUAUGGAAAUCACUGAAGCUCAUACCAGCGAGCAGUGGCUGUGUCUGAUGACCUUGUGGUGCAGAGUGUGAUGCUGGUGGGGUACAGGAACACUUUUUCAUGCCCCUGCAGGCAGAACCGAGCUAUAACCCUCAUUCUAAGGCAGGAUGUGUUCUGGCUUUCCAUCCCUUACUGAUUUUAGCAUCAUCCGAGAGGUCAGGUGCUUUCUGUGACAGGGAAAGGAAAGGUGACCAUUGUGAUGGACCUUCCCUCAUCAGCUGUACCUCUAAGUAGGGAGCUUCAGAGCAUGGAGCUGCAGUCUGUGAGAUGAGUUUUAAAUUCUGAAGGGACGAUGAAAGUAAAUUGCACGGAACCCGCUUUGAGCGUGGGUCAGUAUGAGACCUAAAAUGGGAGCACUUGCAAAUCCAGCUCCAAGUGGUUGAAUGAAAGUUGUAGAGGAAGUGGGCGAGUGUGAAAAUGAGCGGCUGUUGGAUAUUGGGAAUGGAAUGGGUCUGAGCAGGGCUGUAGUGAGGUUAACCUGCAGCGUAUGUCUCGAUAGAUAUGGUGGCUUGAAGCCUGUGAAUGACUACACACAUCCACAAUUCAGGAACAAUCAGAAUCUUGCUGCCGUGUCUGACCUGUGCUGGUGCAGGAGGUGAUGAUUUAAGCUAAAAGAGGGGUGAUUUAGAUGAGUUAUUGGGAAGAAUGUUUUGCUGUGAGGGUGGGGAGGCCCUGGCCCAGGUUGCUCAGAGCAGUGGUGGCUGCCCCAUCCCUGGAGGGGUUCAGGGCCAGGUUGGAUGGGGCUUGGAGCCCCUUUUCCGGUGGGAGGUGUCCCUGCCCAUGGAAACUAGAUGGGCUUGAAGGUCCCUUUGACCCAAACCAUUCCACGAUUCUAUGAAUGGAAUAAGUGCAGCAGAAGUGGUGUUGGGAGCUUCGCUUAUUGAUGCCCUGCGUUUUGGCAACUCUUUGCAUUAGUUUGGUUACCAGAUCCCAGAAUCUGCUUCUGUGCCUGCAUCCUAAUGCGCCCACCCACAGGCAGGAGAGGAAAAGCUCUGAGAAAAAGAGCGUGUCCUUCCAAGAACGGGGGCUGGAGGAAAGGGAAAGAACUGUACCAGAUUACUGCGUCUGAAUAUUUACUGAAGUUUCUAAAUCCAUUAUCUGGGGCAACAGGGUGAAAGACAAGUGGAAAGCAGGUUCCCUCCCCAGUGUCUGUCUCGCUGGCACAGUUAUUUAUGAGGCUCCCUGUAUUAUCAGCGUGAGAUUUACUACUGAAAAGCUGGACUGGGAGUUCUGCUGCCAAGAGGUCAGUGCAGCACAGAGAUGGUACCACAGCAGCAUCAUUCAGAAACAGGCAUAAAGGAAGGGUCACUUUGUUUUUCCUCUUCUCUCAGUGGUAAGCGUCGGCCUUAGCAGUGAAAAGAAAUCUUUAUUAGGAUUUUUAAAGACAGUUAGUGGAAACGUCACUUACUUUUGUGCUGCUGAAAGUGAGAGCUUCUCUAGAGGUAUGGGACUUAGGGCCUGAAGCCCCUCUGCCUACCUUCUCCAAAGGAGGCUGACCUUGCGAGUAACGCCAUGCAGCAGUUAAAGACCAAUGGCUUAUUGAUUAUUUAUAGUUUGAUAAACCCAGGUUUCCCUUCAGCAUCAUUAUGAUGCUGCUGCACCUCCUCCAGGCCACCUGAAGAUGGUCCUGUUGCCUUCACAAGCUCCUUCUGAGCAGCCAGGAGGCGUCAGUCCUUCCUGUCAGUCUGCAGGUAUGUCUGCUAAGAAAGAGACAUCUGGGACAUCUAUGCUGUUCUUCCCAAACCUAACAGCAUGCCGGGGCAGGCAGCGUGUGGAGGGGACGAGGGAAAAGAGAGCACUUCAAGAGAUUUGUGGUACACAGCAUUCAACUAUUGACAUGCAACCUAAACCAGCGCUUGUCUGGAGUGUUUGCUGGGUGUGUGCUGAGUGUGUACGUAUGGACACACUGUGUGUGGAGACCAGCAGUGCUAUCAGCUACAGCUGACUUCAUCAAAGCAGUCUGGAGUUGUCCAGAAAUAAUGGCAGAAAAAGUAGAUGAUCAUUCUUGGUUUUCCCUCCUGUUUCAGACACAUUUUAGAGUGGCAGUGCUGCUCUGUAGCUUUCUUCAGAGAAACAUAGAAUCAUGGAAUGGUUUGGGUUGGAAGGGACCUCAAAGCCCAUCCAGUCCCACCCCUGCCAUGGGCAGGGACACCUCCCACUGGAUCAGGGGCUCCAAACCCCAUCCAACCUGGCCUGGAACCCCUCCAGGGAUGGGGCAGCCACCACUGCUCUGGGCAACCUGGGCCAGGGCCUCCCCACCCUCACAGCAAAACAUUUCUUCACAAUAUCACAUCUCAAUCUCCCCUCUUUCAGCUGAAAACCAUCCCCCUUGUCCCAUCUGUGCACACCCUGAUCCAGAGCCCCUCCCCAGCUUUCCCGGAGCCCCUUUCAGUACUGGCAGCUGCUCUAAGGUCUCCCCACAGCCUUCUCUUCUCCAGGCUGAACAACCCCAACUCUCUCAGCCUGUCCUUGUAUGGGAGGUGCUCCAGCCCUCAGAUCAUCUCUGUGGCCUCCGCUGGAGUCGCUCCAACAAAUCCAUGUCCUUCCUGUGCCAUCUAUACAAGAUAAAGGCAAAGAGGGAAGAAAAAUCCCUUCCUCUCUCAUGACAGGGAGCUUCCUCCCUGGGCUCAGACGUUUAAUCCAGCCUGCAUGAACAAGGCAAGCCUGGGUGUCACAGGCCUGAUUUUUUUCACAAGCUACGGGUUCUGUAUAAAGGCCCUUCUGGAGCUCCCACAGUAAGCAAAACAGAUCUAUGCAUCAUAAAUGUCUUCCUUCAUUUUCAAAUCCUGGAAUGAAACUCCUGGUUCAUCAGACCCUGGGUGUCCACUGGAAAAAAGCAUUCCUAUUUUACAUGCCAAGCUUGAUGGAUCCUUCUCAGAGUGAAGGAAUGAGUCAGAGCAGGGCCAGGUGUGGGCCAGAGGGGUGUGACGGCACAAGUGGUGACCUGCAAGGGGAACCGAAAUGAAGGAACUUCUAAGGUUUCCAGAAAGCUUUCUCAGCCUGGGAGGAGCAUGAAACUCCAUCUGUUUGUUGUGCAGCUCUGUUACGGCGUGGUGGUGCGUGGGUCAGGUAUGGACAAAUGUGCCCUAACUUGCAGUCCGAGCCGGUUGUGGGCGUGCAGGCGUUCUGCGUUGGCAGCGGCACUGACCGAGGCUGGGUAAGGGCAGAGAGGAUGCUGCUUUGCUGAGCGAAGCUGAUGCUUGUGGCUAGAAGAUGGCUCUAGGGGUGCUAGGUUUUUGCUACUGAGCUGGCAGUGUGUGCUCAAAGCCCAGAAAGCCAACUGCAUCCUGGGCCGCAUCAAAAGAAGCGUGGCCAGCAGGGCGAGGGUGAGGAUUCUGCCCCUUUACUCCACUCUCGUGAGACCCCACCUGGAGUCCUGUAUCGAAUUCUGGGUUCCCUGAUGGAACAAGGGUGUGGAACUGUUAGAAUGGGUCCAGAGGAGGCCACGGAGAUGAUCUGAGGGCUGGAGCACCUCUGCUAUAUCAGGCCAGGCUGGGAGAGGUGGGGUUGUUCAGCCUGGAGAAGAGAAGGCUCUGAGGAGACCUUAGAGUAGCUUCCAGCACUGAAAGGGGCUCCAGGAAAGCUGGGGAGGGACUUCUUACAAGGGUGUGGAGUGAUAGGAUGAGGGGCAAUGACUUUAAAGUGGAAGGGAGAAGAUUUAGAUUAGACAUAAGGAAGAAAUUCCUCACAGUGGAAUUGCCCAGAGCAGCGGUGGCUGCCCCAUCCCUGGAGGGGUUCCAGGCCAGGUUGGAUGGGGCUUGGAGCCCCUGAUCCAGUGGGAGGUGUCCCUGCCCAUGGCAGAGGUUGGAACUGGAUGGCUUUAAGGUCGCUUCCAACUCUAACCAUUCCAUGUUUCUGUGGUUCUAUGCUAGUGUUAUUGCGGGCAGGAAACCAUGAACUUCCUGCAUGAGUUUAAAGCCUAAUAGGAUUUUCCUUUUUCUUUGCUUAGGACCAGAAUCAAAACUCCAGAUCCUGUUCCUGGGUUGAACAUAGCCUAUUCCUUUGGUCCAACAAUUGCAAUAUAAGUAGUGAAGUUAAAAGCCAAGUACUCUGGCUUUUAAGCCCUUGUGCUGUCUGCCUUCCCUUCCCAAACACAGGCUGAACACUGGACUGUGGCAUCCUGCAGGGAAAAAGCUUUUUGUCCCAUUUAUUUAUUAUUAUUGCUCUCUUUGAGCAACUUGACAGCCAGACCUACUCAACGUCCGAGUCACCAAUAUGAAUUCCUGUUAGAGGAAGCCUGUCAGAGCACUCCCAAGCAUUUACCUGUGCUCAGCUGUCAGCAAACUGCCUCUCAUUCUAAGCUUUGAAAUUAGAGCUUUGUUUCACACUGUUAAGUAAAAUCUAACAAUUAUUUGCUGUUUGCUAGUGCUUGCCCCAAAGCUGUUCUGAAUUGAAGGGAGCGAUUUACGCAUGGUGACCAUUGUAGGAGAUUUUAAGUAGCAGGGCUACAGUUUUUAAUCCCCUUUGCUCAUCUGAAAUAGCUCUGCCUCGCCCGGAGUGAAACAGUUUUCUUUCCGUCUUUGCUUUCAUGAGAGUUCCUAUGCAAAAACCCCAGCCUGUUUGGAGGGCACGGGAUCGACUGAACCUCGGGAUCCUAUGGAGGAUUCCAGAUUUUACAAGGUACGGUGAGGUGAGACUGGGCAAACUCACCCAGGGAAAGAAAAGUGUUGCACUUCCAUGGCCUAUAGACCAGUAGGAAGGUGCAGCGAUGAAAACUUGUCGAAUAUAGCCACGCACGGCUUGACUGAACAGCACGUUAUAAAACUAACUGCAGAAAAUUACCCACCAAAGUAGCUGAAACCAGAAGAGUCAUUUUCUGUUCCUGGAUUCUCUCCCUAAACAUCACCUUAGAAUAUCAAGUAUCGAUUGCAGGUCUUGAAUGCAGUCACGGGGAGAUGAGUGUUGUGAUUUCUAGAGUCAGCUCAGGAACGCGGCGUUCCCCCAGUGUUGCCAUUCCAGCUCCUUCAGGCAAUAUCAAGGGAACUCCUAUUUUCUUUGUGUUGUUCAAGAGACAAAAGAAUGCCCUGUGCCGGUGAGGAGCAUAAGGAAACAAAUACUGCGGGAUGUUCACUGAAGUAUAACCUGCCUCAAAUGGGACAUUAAAAACCUUUCAGUACCCAGUCGUGCCUGAACACUGUCGGCUGUAGAAGAACCCGGCAAAAAAGGUGGAGAAGAGCAUUUCCCAAAGUCCUGUCUGACUCCCCUGAGCACGUGAGCUGUUUGGUUUGUACCUGUUCUUAGGAUUUCCAUCACUUCGUCCAUCACUGAACCUUUACCGUACGUCUGAGCCACUCUUGGUAUUUAAGGAGUGUUUGAGCUGAUGUGCCAACAGCGACGCAGAGGUUGCUGCCGGCCACCGACCACGCACCGUUUUGCACUGGAUAAAGAGUGUUUGUGUGGGGAGCUGAAGAGAUGCGUUUAACUCAGAAAUAGCUCUCUUCCUUGGAAAGCUCAAGGUCUGAAUCACACUGUGUUGGCUCAGUUUUUAGCAGACAAGCUAUCACAUAUGCCUCCCUGUAGGCGAAGAGUCGUCACUGGCGUCAGGAUUAGCAGCCACGUUCUUUCCCCUUUGAAAACUACAGAAUAGUGACACUGGAGGCUGACUCUAAGCGCCGCGGCCUGGGGCUGGAGGCUUUGGGGGGGCAGGCUAUCAAAAAGGGGGGGCAGGGAGCGAAAUGGGUAGGUAGACUAGCAGGAAGGAUCACUGGCCUCUGUACUCAGCCUGCGCUGGGCCCCCUGUUCCUUUCUGUUUGAAAGGAGGCAAAUAAUCUGUCCCCAAAUAGAACUUUGUUCUUGGGAACAAAAUAAGUUAUUUUGCUCAAGACCCUUGAGGUGUUAGCCACGCCACUGCUGCCUCUGAAGCCCAGAAGAGCCAGCUCUAACAUAUCCGUGGCUGAUGUUGCCCUGAGUCAACUGAAAAUAUGAAUGACAUGGACAAGUAGGAACAUUGGAGAGAAAUGUGGUAACCUGGGAGAGGACAAGACAGCUACUGAGCAGAGGUACCUGACACUGAAAGCGCACGAGAGACAACAGGAGCUUGGCAGACGCCGGUGAGCUCAGAGCUGCCUGCGGAGUCCACCUGAUAAAGCCUACAGGAGCAGAAACGUAAAUAUGUGCUGACUCCUUGUUUAUUUUCGCCUGGAACACAGUCUCAACUCCGUACAGCGCAGCCAGGAACCAACAGCAAAAUCGGACUGCGUCACAGAUGUAACAUGACCAUCGGCAAAACAAGUGCAGGAAGAGAUCAUGGCUGUCUCGUCAGUCACAGAGCCUCCCUUCGAUAUCAGACAACAACAAGAUGCUUCUAAAUUUCUGUCUGUGAGUAUGUGCAAUCCUUAACUUCCUUUACCAAAUUUUGCAGCCCUUGAACACUUAAAAACGCCCAAGAAAAUGGCGUGUGUUUUGCCAACAGACCCAACGCUAAUAUUAACGAACACUGCGUCAAAAUGCCGCACUAAGGCCGAGAGAUUUAAUAAACCCAACUUUACCAAACCAAAACACAAGAGAAAUGAAUCAGCUUACACGAUGUCAUGCACACACAAGUGUCAGAGGGAGAAAGAAAUCACAGCUUUCCCUGGUCCUUUUGUGGCAAUAGGCAGAAAUCCAUUACGGCACAGUUAGCCCUGUACAGCGAGCACACGGUAACAAUACCAGCCCUAUGCGCAAAAUCACUGCCGUCCUACAGAAAUACGCCGCGUCCCCUUCUUAGCCUUGAUUCUUGCCCGUCCCACAGAUUUACCUGCUGACAGUAACCUCAAUUCCUGAGUAAUGAGAUUUACAGCUGAAGUUUAACAUUGGAAUAACUCUGCCUCCUUACCCUCUCUGCAUUUAGGUGCAAUUAAACCAUCGGCCUGGCAAAAAGGUGGUAACAAAAGGAAUAAAACCAAAUGCAUCCCUACGCUCAACACAGAGACGCAAAAAAUACGCAUACGCCUGAGCAAUACGCAUACGCAGAAUGGGUGCGGGUUGCGCCCUGUCUUGAAGGGCUGAGAAAUGCCAUUGAGAUGCAUUGGCUUCACGAAUUAUCGGGGUCCUCCGCCCCACAAUUUAGAUGGGGAAUACCGCAAAGGGUUGUCCGUUCAGACAGCACUCGGUAAAACCAACUCAACCCACCCGUCUUCCAUGCAACCGAGCAUCGUUCUUGGUCCAGCUCCUGGCUGUACGGAAUUCCCUCUGGGGGUGCCUUGUGCUGUUCCUAUGUGUGUGUGUUUAUGCCUGUCCGUCUUGCUGCAGGGACCACCGUUGUUGCUGCUAUUCCUGUUGUUCCCCUGCUCUGCGGAACUGGCGCUGCAGGAGGCAAGGAUGCUCCGAGGGAGCCAGCUACAGCCAGCGAAGGCUCGGCUGCUGUUCAGAGGACAGGCUGCUGCCGAAGCGGUGGAGGCGGCGGGUGCCGUAUGUCUGAGCCGGUUCUGAAUCCAGCGGUUGUUGCUAAACAACCGGACCUGACGCCCGAGAUGUCAGCGAGUGAGUAAUACAGAUUAAAUACCUCUGCUACCGUAUCCUUAAACUUUUUUAAACCUCAAUACGAUGAAAGGCUAUAGAAUAAUGUUCCCUGACAUAUGAGAAAGCAAAGUUACCACUCCACUGCAUAAUCGGGAGACUUCCUCAGCCAGAAGGACCAAGCUCAAAGCUGGUUGUGUCCUCAGCACUUCCAGGCAGAGCUGCCAUCUUCCUUGCUGGUCGCUUUAAGAAGAGAGGUGAAAAAAUAGUAUAGUAAAUGGUUAAGAGAGAAAAGUGUUCUCCCCUUCGUUUGCUCAUCCUCUCUCUGGAGCUGCUGUCUGCCCUCAGUCUCCCAUCCAUCCUUUUCUGGUCCCUCCCAAUCCUCCUGCAAUCCUUGCUUUCUAACGCUGUCCUUUCUUUCGCAAACCUUACAGACCUGUCUCUUAGGCCUCUCUUCAGCUCUCCCUGACGUUACCGAGCUUGUGGCAAAGUCACCCUUAUGCAAACAAACGCUGAGUUUGGGCAAGAGUGUUUUUCGCUUCUUUAAUGAUUCCCACGACAUAAUUUCCAGGUACAACCCCUGCCCUUAGCAGUUGCCAGUCCUGCGAACGCUUAACCACUUUAUAAGGGAGCAGGAGGAAAGCAAACACGGGGAAGAAAAGCCCCAACCCCCUGUAGUUUCCCAGUCCCUGUGGUUUGCAGUGCUGACACGUCAUCCUCGCAACUGCACAGCGAAGCGAAACCUCCCCAGCACCCACGGCUGCGGGGUUAAGCGCUGCGCCCCUGCCCGGUGCUCCUUGCCAGGGACACCCGGUGGCCCUGGGGGUUGGAGAGCACAGGGAGUGGACAGGGAUCGGACAGGGAGCCGGGUGGAGAGCAGCCGGCACUUUGAAGCAAGUGAAAUCAACGUUGAGAUUUGACACCCAGUCCUGGACCAAUCCGAGAGGGCUUUUCACCUGCCAUCCCUUCCUCUGCCAAUCGCAGGGCGCCUUUGGGCUGAGAGCCCUCCCCGGCCAAUGGGGAGCCGGCUCUGCCACUUAGUUAAUGAUGCAGCAGUACAGGGAAGACUAUCACAUGUGAGCUGGAAGGCUGCCAACAUGGAGACACGGAGAGAGCAAGGUAAACAACUUCCCAACGCCAAAAUGAUGACAUUUAAUCCCUAAAUGCUAGCUUCCCGUCUCGACUCAUCCUUAACCCCUUUCAGCUGGGGUGGAAGCGGCUGGAAGGCACUGGCUACCUGUCCCCCAGUGCUUUUAAAAACUGGCCGACGUGCCCUGCAAUGAUCACUGCGUCACCGUUUCCCACUUUCCGAACUACGCAGUCACAAAGCUCCGAGCUCUGAAACGCAGCGCGCCUGUUACCCCUCCACUGAGCUCUCGCCAACAUGCCAGCCUUCAGAGAGACGGGGAGGGGGGGGGAUAAAAAGCCCAAACAAACCCUGAAAACAGCAGUCUGCAAAGUUGUCAUCUCUCCCCCACGACUACUACCCUCCUCUGCAGUACAGCAAUGCCGGCAGGAGUGACAUUAGUACAACCUGUGCUCUCAUUCCAUUGAGAAAACAGCUCUGACGCAGAACAGAGCAAUCGUACCCAGCCAAAAUAAUAAUACAGGCACUUCGGGAUCCGAACUUAGGGACGCCGGGGGAAAGGGACGCCCUGCAAGCAAUUAAAAUACGUAGAUGCAGCCCAAGCCCCAUCCUGAUCAGAGGGUACGUACGUGGGAAAGACGAACUGGACCGAAGAGCUCUGCCCGUGCACCAUCUGCGCAGUCCUCAGCCCUUCACUCGCUGUGGAGCGCCGCAGAAUAGAAGGUUCCAGAAUUUUCCUUUCCGUUAACCCUUUAGGUGUCUGCCCACUCUCCCUCCCCGCGGGAUUAAGCGCGCCGGGUCUCCAGCAUCGUCAAUGGGCGAAGCCUCCUACGCCAACCGAGCCCAAAUACGAUCUCUAAAUGACACUGGAUGGUGGUAGGAGCCCAGUCCCUGAUGUUGGUGUUACUUCUCUUCCCGGAGCCCUCUCUGCCUCUCUAGCUGCCUCUCUCCCUCUUGCUGCAGCAGCAGGGCUGUUGCUGGUAGACCUAUCGACGGAGCUGGCUCUCUCGCUCUCUCGCCGAGCUCUGUGACGCAGCUCUAAAUUCUCCAGCCUGCUCCCUGUGUUAUAAGAGCGGAACUGCAGCUUUCCAGGGAGCCCGUGCCAGCGGUGCCAGGGCCAGGCAGACCGAGGGGAACGGCACUCCUGGACUCUGCACCUUUUUUUGGUAAUUAUUAUGUUCCCCACCUCCGUUUCUGUGCUUCCUCCGAAGCUUUUAGCCUCGCAUCUCCUUCUCUGCUUCUGAGUCAUGCUUACUAGGUUAACUCUUUUAGGAUUGGUAGUCAGCAAUACAAAUCUCGAACGAGCGCAGCUGAAACCACAGCCAACUUUGUGGUGGUUUCUGCUUUAAAAAAAACCAAAGCAAAUCUUCUUGGCUCUAAAAAACAAAAACAGAGACACACACACACACACACACACACAGAGACACGUUCCAGUUGAGAGUUAGUGCUUUUUGAUUAACUGUUUGGGUGACAGGAACCACUACUUGACUUCCUAAAGUCAAAUAUUUCAGGCCUACGUCUUGCAAAUGCUCAGCAGGCAGUUACCCUGGAGCAGAAGAUGACUGAAGAGGAACUGAUCCCAUGCACAAACAGGUUUGCUGGGCAUAAAAGCAUGAGGUUACUGCUGGACCCACCAGCCCCUGCUAUGCUGGCCGCAAGACGCUGAUCCGAGUGUGAUUCAGCCGUGGGGCAGAUGCCUGGGGUAAGAUAAGUUAUGGAAAGUGCUGCAAAGCUCUUGGCUUGUCUUAAUCUGAACAGUAUUAAUAAGUGUUAUCACACGCACAGAUUCAAAAUGCUCGGCGUAGGCAGGAGAACUAAUAGUCGUGUUCCUGGAAUCACCAGAAUCCAAUCAUCUCUGUUAAACAAAGUCUCCACACAGCUCUGUAUUUCAGCACAGCAGGAAUGCAGAGUGACCGCGCUGUCCUUGCCUCUGCCCCCCAAACCCUCCCUCGUGUUAACUUGGUGCUUUCUGUCCCCUUUGGCACCAGGCUGGGAAGCGACGCUCUUCUGUCUCGUCGCCUCAAACCCGGCAAGUGUGGAGGAGGAUCAGUGGUAGGUACAGCAUCUGGGCAUCAAAGAGAAGCGUAUGGAACGCCAGCACUGUGUGAGGGAGUUCAUGCCUCAGUCUGCACAUACAAAAGAGCAAGCGAGCCAGCAGUCCAUUUGAAAACCAGAAUCAAGAGAGCGAUCACUACUACACAGCUACAGCUGCCAUUUUAAUUCCAGACUUCAGAGCCGGCUGCGAGCUUUGGGUUUUUUCUCUACAACCAAAGCUGAAAUAACCACUAUUUUUUCUCUUUGCAGUGUCUGAAGAGCCUGAGCUAUUUUGGGAUUUGUCUGUACUACACUGAAAGUGACACCUGUUACGCACAGACACAAAUGAGAAGAAGCGCAAGCUCCUGGUUUCUCAGAUACGAUUCUGCAAGAAAAAGAUCCUUUGAGGCAGGGGUGUGGGAGAGCAGCGCAGGCUCGGCGCAGGGCGAAGGGGAUGGCUCUUGUGAAUCAUAGUAAUACAAUGAUUUGAGUUGGAAGGGACCUCAAAGUCCAUUCGGUUCCACCCCCUACCACGGGCAGGGACACCUCCCGCUGGAUCCGGUUGCUCCGAGCCCCAUCCAACCUGGCCUGGUACCCCUCCAGGGAUGGGCAGCCACCGCUGCUCUGGACAACCUGGGCCAGGGCCUCCACACCCUCACAACAAAAUAUUUCUUCCUAAGAUCUCGUCUCAAUCUCUCGUCUUCCAGCUUCAAGCUGUUCCCCCUCAUCCUGUCUCUGCCCUCCCUGUCAAACAAUCCAACACCAGUACAAGAAAGUGCAGUGGGUCUGUUGUAGCUGAUGCAAGGGGAAAUCAAACCUCCGCAUGACCAGGAGUAGUGCUCGAUCAACAAAAUGCCACAAGACGUGGUUUCUUAUGCAACCAAACCCCUGGGACUUCAAACCUUACAUCUCCGCUCUGGCCAAAGCUGCAAGCAUUAACUACUUCAGUUAAUGACGGUAAGAUUGUAAGAGCGCUACGGCUACUUAAAUGAGUCACCCAGCAGUGAUGCUCGCUAAAGUAGGCCAGUGCUUUACGUGACGUGAAGCUGUGCUGGUUUCAGUUACCCCUCGCUUCUUUCCGAAGCUCCAGUGUGCAGGGUCAGAGCGGAUUUCCCGCGUUCUCCCCUUCGGCGCGUGGCCGGUUUACGGCACAGCAGCGCUGUGGGGCAGAGGCCGUCUCGCUUGACCCGCGAGACCUGGCAAAGCUUUGCAUGUGAUUGCGUACGGCACUGGAGCAAGGUUGUCCAGAGAAGUGGUGGGGGCCUCAUCCCUGGAGGUGUCGGAUGGGGCCCCUGAUCCAGUGGGAGGUGUCCCACUGAAUGGGCUUUAAGGUCCUUUCCAACCCAAACCAUUCCAUGUUUCUAAAACACUUGGAAAUAGGACCAUUGACGGGUGCUUAUAGCUCACAGUAAUUUUGUCAGUCUUGGGGCUUAUUAAGAAAGUAAAAUGGAGCUUUGAUUUAUUUCAAAUGAUAUAUUUUUGGUUGCUUUCAGGGGAAAGACAGCAUUUAUUUUAUGCUUUACUUUCAUUUGAAAAUCAUCAGCUGUGGAACAUUUUUAUCUUUCCCUGCCUGUAAGUAUUUACUUUGUGGUGGCUCUUGGGCUCCCAAGAAGACUCCAAGCUGCACUGCACCGGGAAACACUCCGUCACCUAACUAAGAAAACAAGGCACAACGGAAAGCGUCAGCCCCAGAAAAAUAAAAUCAUCUUCUCACGCUGUCUGUCAGUAUUUAGCAUUUUCUGUGAGCUGAAGUAUGGAAAUAGAGACCAUGAUUCCAUGGCAGAAAUGCAUUUCUCUUUGAAGUGGAACCGGUGCGUAUCGUUUGAUAAUGGCUUUUUUGGCCCCCUUUCUUAUUUCUCUGAACUCUUUAAAAGCAGGAGGCAGGACUUUGGUUUGACUAUGAGGAAACAAAGCCUUGGGACAGAAAGCAAGCUUGGUAAAUGGAAAUAAUGCACGGCCGUGGUUGGAGGCAGGGGAGAUCGGUCUCGCCGUGGAAUGGAAGUGUAAGUAUCCGUACCGAAGUGAGGGGUGACCUGGUGGCUGAUGACAGCUGUGCCGGGGGAGGGCGGUACUUACAGGGUUGAUUUAAACAAACCCAGUUCUGAUAGCGCUAGGCAAUGUACCAAGGUAUCAGGGCUUACACCUGGAACGGCUCAGGCUGAAUGUUAGGUAAAAAAAGACAGUUUUUCAGGAGGAUGGGAGGGAUUGAACCCCCAGCUGUCCCUACCGUCAACCAACCAUUUCCUACAGUAUCGUGAGAGGAGCAGGGGGUUUGCCAAACCCUCCAGAAAGGUUCAUCCUCAGUUUUCCAGCAUCCCCUGUGCUGUUUUCUGCUGUCAUUCUACAGCAACCUUAAUAGCAAUACCAUACGAACCCUGAUGUUACAAAUACCCAACCCUCAUGCACAUCAUUAUUGUGAUCCUCAGCCAUCCAUGGAGGAAGGUCCUUGGUCUUUUUAGUGCCGAAUGAAUUCCUCGUGGUACUGCCCACGCUUCCUGCUGGCAAAACCUUGGCUCCGGCUUCGGUUUAAAUGCCAUCGGCCACACCUUCCUCCAACUGCAGGAAGCUGUGAUUGUUAAAAUCGGGGCACGUUCCUGUUUUAAUGACAAGGUUGAGAUCAAAUAAUCCAAAAGGCCCCGACAAUGCCAAACAAAUUCCUUCCCGAGCCAUAGCAAAUCCGUGCAGCUGUAAAUCUGUAACCCCCUGACCUCCGUAUCCACGUAAAUGCCGCCGCGGCACAUCACCUCCGGGAGCGGCUGGUGGUAAACGGAAGGAGCAGGGACUGAGGGAAAGGUGGACUGAGGGGUGGAAAAGUUAACUAUUAGCACUGUGUUCUGUUUAACAACCAAAAAGCCCUGGAAGCUGCUUUAAAAUGCAAAAUAGUCCAUUCUUCAGAUGGUUUUUCAGUGCUACCUCUUCCUCACAGCCUCAACAAAAGGAGGUUUUCCAACAAGAAUCUGUUUCGGCACGGAAUUCCCAGGCAGCUCUGUUCAAGGGAGAGCAGCAGAAACAGAGCAGCCCACUUGGCAGUGCCGUUUCCCCCAUCCCUCUUUGAGGAGAGGGGAGGUUGAUCUGUAAAAUGUUCUUUUUUUCUGCAGGUUUUGAUAGAAAAUCAUCCCUAAAAAAAUAUCUUACUUAACUCUUUGUGACAUUGGCUGCAAAUAAAGUAGUAAAUUUAGUUGUUCCCUAUGGGAACUGGCAAGUUUUAUUGUUUGCUUGCUUAAAAUCAAUAGAAUUUUGCGUAUGAGGAGGCUGAAUUAAAUGAAGGUGAUAUAAUUUAACACACAUUGUUUAUGGAAUCAGGGUCAAAGCUGAUCCAGGAGUCCUUGCUCCCAGAUUUUACUCAGGUUGUGCCUCUUGCUUAAUUAUAAUCAUUAUUGCCCAGAAGGCCACCUCAAUUAGUGAGAGGGAACCGUUGUCGGUAGUGGGAGCUAUCGGAACAGCGUGGCUUUGGGAGGAAAGGGGUAGGAAAUUAUUUCAGACAGGUGCUUUCUUUCAUUUUCCACAGAAAAACAGGAAUCAGACCUAGAAGUCUUCCUUUUCACAUCAACUUAGGCAACAGCGGAGAGUUUGUGGUCUCACAGUGCUAUCCCGACAGCCACCAGGAUAUGCACAGAUUCCCAGGAAACUGGAGAUUUACAACUCCGAAAUGGGAAUAUUUGCUAACACAGCGACUGAAGCCCGUGUGGGGCUGUUCCACCUGGGACCCUCAGCAGGUUUUGUUCUGCGGUGACCAUCGGAUGGUUACAGAGGCACAGCAAAUGCUUGGGUUUAGGGUUUUUUUCCCAAAAGGUUUAUUGCUUUCCAGACAAGUUUCGUAGUGAAUGGUGGAGAAAUGCCUUGUGUAGUAUUUUCAGCACUUUUAUUCUCACCAGAGUCCCAACCAGCAGGAGGAUAAAUAACAGUAAAACCCUUUCAGAAACAGCUUUAAAGUGGAUUCUCUGCACCUUCUUGGAUGUGCGCAGAGGUUGAGGUGGGGAUUUUUCUUUGGGGAUGGUUCAAGGGAAUGGGAUGGAAUAAGGAGUGUUGCGAUCAAAGGGCUGCAGAGCCAGAGCUGUGGGUUUCUUCCCAACAAGCGUUUGGGAUGGGUCGGCACUGGGUGCUCACGUUUGCAUAACACGCUUGCAUUCUUCGUGCCAACCUGGCCCACGCAGUGAAGCAGGCGCUGGAAUGGAACCUGGCCCACCCUUUGGAGAGGUGGAGCCCUGGGAUAGACCUGAGCUGAAAAAAAUCCCGGCUGCGAUCCUUCGCAAAGAGGUGACACCACAUUCACAUACGAGCAGCUUCAAAGCAGGACGUGCGCCCUGUGUUGAAGCUGGGUUCAAGGUAUUCGUUCUCCUCGGCUGACAGCUCUGCUGAUGGAAUGCUGCCCAGAGGCCGCCGGGGUGGCUCCUCGGACCCCUGACCGCUCUGCCCACGGUGGGCGUGAGAGCGGGGGCGCCCCGAGGUGCAGGUUGUUUCUUGGUUUCCAAUCAAGGGAGCCAACGGUGCUGAGACAAAAGUAAUUAUUCCAGCUCUUAGCUGCUAAGAAUAGAAGCGGCGGGGGUGCCGUGCGGGGCUGAGGUGCGCCGGCAGCAGGGAUUGCAGUGGGAGCACAGAAAUAGCCCUUCUCAGCGCUUUGGAGCUUUGUGAGUCACCAAAAUACACGGGGACGAGUGGGUGUAGAGGAAAAUCUGCCCUGCGCCUCCGUGUGCGGCAGAAAUGCCCCUGGGCUGCUUGCUGGAUGCUCUGGGAGAGACCCAGGAGCCUGGUUUUGCCUAAGGAGAGCAUCUUUGCAGGCGCUGGACCACCCUCGAUGCUUCCCACUCGUCGCAGCGCACGGCCGGGGAAAGGAGAACACCCAAGAGCCGUGCUGCCCGCCCGCUGCUCUCAGGUACCGUCCCCUGCCCUUGGCAGGGCAGAUCCGGCCCCUUCUGCCCCUCCGGCCCCGAUCCCACGGGGCAGGAAUAUUUGCAAAAGCCAAACAUUCCCGAGCUGGGCUGAGGGGGGAAGAGCGGGACGGAGGAAUCCAUUGAUCUCGAUCCAACUGGGCUCCACGGUGUUUUCCCAACUGCUAAUCUUACUUGAAGUUCCCUUUAGAAAUCCAUUACAAAAGGUUAAACACGUGAACAGUAGACACUUAAAUAAUCAGUAAAUGCUCUUCAUCGAUGCCUGUAAUGCUUUAUCCUGAUGCUGUUUAGCAAAAUAAUGCUAUCCCUCCGUGUUUAUACUCAAUAUAGCUUGGAAAAGGUAAUUUUUUUCCCCUUCUGUGCUGUUUGUGCAGCCCCGGGUACAUCACAUUCCUGCUCUAUGACUGGGUUUCCAAACCGCAGAGUAAAAUGAAUAAUAAUGAUAGUAAAAGUUGUACAACUGUUUUUGGGUUUUUUAUAUAUACAGCAGCCUCUAUAUUAAUUUCCCUUGAGAGGAAAAAAGGUUUUGUUUUUUUUUUUUCCAAAAAAACAUGAAAACAACCCCAGAAAAGCAACACAUUCAAGGUUUAAAAGAAAAUCUUUUUAUCAACCCUGGGUGCAGCUGCGGAAAGAGCCGAGCUAGAAUUAAACAUCUCAGCUGGAGCGCGGACAGGGCGCAAGAGGGCUUGCUAAAAAUAGAUUAAUCCUAAUUACAGCCACGCUCCUGCUUUGUCAAGGUUUCCUGCUUCCCAUGGGAUGCCGGGGCUGGGAAUGGGGGGCUCGCUGCUGUGGUGGGAGCAGCAGGCUGGGGGUCGCCCGCCGCCUGGUAUUGCAUAAUGUUGGGAACACGCCGUCCUCCAGAGACCGGAGCGCCGGGAGUGACGGCAGCGUCCCGCCUGGCUGGCCUUGGGCUGCUGGCUCCGGCUGAUCCGCACAGGCUCAGCCCAGCCACCGGCCCUGGAAGCUCUCCCAGGCAGCAAAACCUGAAUAAAAGACUGGAAAACGGCGUUGCAGGUACUGUGUGCUUUGCUGGUGAACGAUUUAAACAUCUCUACCUUCCCACCAGCUUCUUGGAACGCCAGCAGCCCCCGGAGGAGCUGGAUCAUGGGCCAGAGCUGCACGGCAUCGCUAAACCCCCCGACGCGGUGCCGCGAGGGAGCUGCCGGGAAUCCCUUGGGGUUAUUUCCUCCUGAACAACGUUGAUGGAGAGAGCUGACGAUGUCUCAUAAGGCUCUUGAUCAAAGAGUGCAGGGACAGGAUGAGGGGAAUGGUUUUCAGCUGGAAGAGGGGAGGUUGAGAUGAGAUCUUGGGCAGAAAUGUUCUGCUGUGAGGGUGGGGAGGCCCUGGCCCAGGUUGCCCAGAGCAGUGGUGUUGCCCCAUCCCUGGAGGGGUUCCAGGCCAGGUUGGAUGGGGCUUGGAGCCCCUGAGCCAGUGGGAGGUGUCCCUGCCCAUGGAGGGGGUUGGAACUGGGUGGGCUUUGAGGUCCCUUCCAACCCAAACCAUUCUAUGUACAUAUAAUUUCUACUUACGACUCAUCAGAAAAGGUUUCAUUUGUGAGAUCCCUUCCCCUCCUGCACUGAAAUGCAGAUCCAGGAUUUGUGGCUUGGUUUUUAUGUGUUUAAUUAAAUGAGGCAGAGGCACUGCAGACCCUUUGGGCUGGCGGGCGCUCACCUGGGCCGGCAGCUUCACCUGCACCUCCCUGCUUUGCUCUCCAAGGGAAAACGUCUUCCAGCUCCAGUCCCCUGUAUCCCAGCUGAUGUUGCAGCAGUGGGUUUGGCUCUCCUGGGUUGUCAGUCCUGCUGUCACCUCCCAACUCCCUGGAGUUACACCCUGAGGGCAAGAAAAUCUCCUGUUAAGUUUCACCCACUUUAAUAUGACCAGGCAAUAUUUUCCAAUCAGGAAAUAAAUAAACAGGAAAAACAUUGAUUAGACAUUUCUGAGCAGCUGUUUUAGCAUCCCUGGGCUGCAAGUAGCCUGCAUCCAAGAGCAGACCUCCUCUCUUUGCCCGCUGCCUUAUGGGAUGCAUGUAGGGAAUGGCAACACUGCUGCUCCGGCUGCAAGGGCGCAUCUCCCCAGCCCCUGCCUGGAGCCCCUGCUUUUAUAACCACACUGAGGGAUUGGGAAAUCCGCUGUGAUUCAUCUGAAUCGCUUCAGGUCCCCCCUUCCCACCCUGGCACAGCACCCACGGGAGCUGCCAGACGCACGCGGAGCGAGCACCACGCCUGCCGGAGGCUCCUCAUCAGCCUCGGCUGCCAAAGUGGAUGCCACGAAUUGAUUCCUCGUCGGGGGCUACAAGAAAGCUGGGGAGGGAGUGUUUACAAAGCUUUGUGGUAAUAGGACGAGGGGGAAUGGGUAUAAACUGGAGAGGGGAAGAUUUAGGCUGGACAUAAGGAGGAAUUUCUUCAUGAUGAGCAUGGUGAGGCCCUGGCCCAGGGUGCCCAGAGCAGUGGUGCUGCCCCAUCCCUGGAGGGGUUCCAGGCCAGGUUGGAUGGGGCUUGGACCCCUGAUCCAGUGGGAGAUGUCCCUACUCGUGUCAGGGAUGGGAUGGGUAGGCUUUGAGGUCCCUCAAAGCAAACUGUUCCAUCAUUCUAUGAGAAAUUAAGACAGGUAUUUUGCCCUUCCAUAGCCAUUGGAAACCCACUACUAAGGUCAAAAUCCAAGCAAGUAACAAAAUAAAACGUAAGCUCAAAAAGUUUUUUUAUGCAGAAAUUGAUUCCUCUUCCCAGCGUGGAAUUAUUUUGCAAACAGAUCUCAAUUAGAGGCUGAGCUUUUCUAUUUUUGUUUUUCUUACAAAUAAAUAGAUAUUGUCAUUUUUCAAGAGAUUUGAGGUUUUUUUUUUUUCUUACGUGGCCAAUUCUAAUCCAUCAGUUAAUCCCACUCUUUCCAGCCGGGGAGACCUUUGUAUAAAUUUCUAAAGUAGAAAACAAAACAUUAAACAUUACAAAACCAAACAGAUGAAAAUACUUUCAGCUUUGCUCAUGUUCCUGCCAAGUGUUUUCCCUUUUAAAAAAACCACACAAACCAACUCCUUCCCCGCCCGGGCACGACUGUGUCCUUGACUCCUUUAAAGGGGACGGAAGAGCUCGGAUCAGCGCUGGGCCAACACCUAAGGAAGGGCAAGGACUGGUUUUAAGCCUUUAAAGCAGCUUCUAAUACUAUUCCUCCCCCCAAAACAAGGCAAUAAGAGUAUAUUAAGGUGAAGAACACAUAUUUAAGCUGGAAGAAGGGAGAAUUAAAUGAGAUCUUGGGGAGAAAUGUUCUGCUGUGAGGGUGGGGAGGCCCUGGAAGAGGUUGCCCAGAGCAGUGGUGCUGCCCCAUCCCUGGAGGGGUUCCAGGCCAGGUUGGAUGGGGCUCGGAGCCCCUGAUCCAGUGGGAGGUGUCCCUGCCCAUAGCAGGGGGUGGGACUGGAUGGGCUUUGGGGUCCUUUCCAACACAAACCAUUCCGUUAUUAUACAUAUAUAUAUAUCACAUAUCACCUUUGUUUCCUUGGGAGGUUUUCACCAAGUCCUGAAGAUGAUCAAGUUCUGGGGACACUCGGGGUGCAUCACUGGCCGGUGCAUCCGAGUCUGUACCUGCUCCAGCCCUCUGGUCCAGCUGAACACAACCGCUUUGCUUCCCGGAUGCAGCCGCGGUCCGGAGCCACGAUGAUGCUGUCUUACAAACCCUACUCCCGAGUGAUCCCACGAGAGGGAAUUCUCCUGCGUACGCUCACUCCAAAGGACCAUGAACACAGCUGCAGGAUACACCAAUAAGGAAUGAAACUGGUAAUGAGGACAAGUCGUCUGCAGUCACUCCAGGAAAAUGGUUGGAUUUCCCUGCUGCUUUGGCUCGCCUGAUUCCAAACACGAAAGGCACAAAAGACAACUUCCACACAAAAUAGAGAAAAUAACUUUAUGGAGCGUCUCAACUGCAGAGUAUCUUUAAAAAGCCUUCUAGAAAGCCUUUUACCACAUUACUCAACACACCUUUAUUUAUUAUUUUUUAUAAGAAAAGAGCAGAAAAGAGCUUAAUCCAAGCUAAAUAUUUAACCAAAUAGCAAUUAACUAACAAUGAUGAAUGAUAAACAGUCCUAGUGCGACGCUAAACUGGGACUUUAAAGCCCGUUUAUCUAAGCUAAAGCUGCUCAAGGGGAAAGGCAAGUUUAUUGAGUAAACUUUGUCUCAGCCACCUUGCUAUUAAAGCAGUCGACAAACAGAAACUGCAUCGUAUAUCCUGUGGGAGGCAGAAAAGGAGCAGGAACAUAACAAUCCAUCACCCAGAAGUUACAAAGCUAUGCGGAGCAAUUAUCCCAAAAUAUAAAAGCAGAGAAAACAUGAUGCUGUAAAGCAGCCGCUCUCAACCCCCAUGGCCUCAUGUUAAAAGAGAAAUAAGUGAGGGACGCCUUAAAUUCCACACAGUUUCCACUGGCCCUGAGACAGUCAUUCCCACUCAUCCACUAGGACUGAGCCUGGGCAGCUGCCAAAGAUUUUAUCACAGAAUCAUGGAAUGCUUUGGGAUGGAAGGGACCUCAAAGCCCAUCCAUUUCCCACCCAGU